GACGAACCGUGCGAACGUUAUUCGGAAUCACUGGGCUUAAAGGGCGCGUAGGCGGGCGGCCAGGUCCGGGGUGAAAGCCCCCAGCUCAACUGGGGAAGUGCCUUGGAUACCGGUCGCCUCGAGGGAGGCAGGGCGUGCGGAACUUCGGGUGGAGCGGUGAAAUGCGUAGAUAUCCGAAGGAACACCGGUGGCGAAAGCGGCGCGCCUGGACCUCUUCUGACGCUGAGGCGCGAAAGCCAGGGAGCAAAGCGGG
rnacentral:rRNA from 1 species